UACGUAGGUGGCGAGCGUUGUCCGGGUUUACUGGGCGUAAAGGGAGCGUAGGCGGGCUUUUAAGUGAGAUGUGAAAUACUCGGGCUCAACUUGAGUGCUGCAUUUCAAACUGGAAGUCUAGAGUGCAGGAGAGGAGAAUGGAAUUCCUAGUGUAGCGGUGAAAUGCGUAGAGAUUAGGAAGAACACCAGUGGCGAAGGCGAUUCUCUGGACUGUAACUGACGCUGAGGCUCGAAAGCGUGGGGAGCAAACGGG
rnacentral:rRNA from 1 species